GGCGCUUCCAACGGACUCCUCCAAUUCAGGAGGAGAAUUCUUUUAUUUAUUUAUUUUUUUUUUAUAGCCGAGGGCUGAAGAAACGAUAGUCACUUCUGGAUGGCACCGAUCAAUCAGUAGGAAUAUCCAUAGCUGAGGUGAUGCAGGAUGAUGGUGUUUGUCUACAUCUAAAAAAAAAAGUGUUUCGUGGACGGAUGGAUGGAUAGAUGGAUGGAUAGAUGGAUGGAUGAUCUAAUCUUGAAAGUUGAUUCGUGGCGAGAACGCCUUGCUUCCGCCUCACAGAGGACACCGACGAUGAGUAAUUUCCACGGUUUUAGCUGAAGGUGGAGUUUUCACAUCCAAACACAGCUGCUCCAAACUCUCAAACUUAUCCCAGGGCAAAUAUGAAAUUGUGUUUGAGCGGCGUGUUUAAUAGAUUAGUCUGGUGUCAGGAUGCUUUAGAGUCGUAUCUCGGGUGGUGGUUUUUUUUCCCUCCGCCGACACUCCUUCCCCGAUCAUGUCAGGAGCCAUUUUCACUAUGAUA